AACGAACGCUGGCGGCAUGCCUAACACAUGCAAGUCGAACGAGACCUUCGGGUCUAGUGGCGCACGGGUGCGUAACGCGUGGGAACCUGCCCUUAGGUUCGGAAUAACUCCCCGAAAGGGGUGCUAAUACCGGAUAAUGUCUUCGGACCAAAGAUUUAUCGCCUUUGGAUGGGCCCGCGUUGGAUUAGCUAGUUGGUAGGGUAAAAGCCUACCAAGGCGACGAUCCAUAGCUGGUCUGAGAGGAUGAUCAGCCACACUGGGACUGAGACACGGCCCAGACUCCUACGGGAGGCAGCAGUGGGGAAUAUUGGACAAUGGGCGAGAGCCUGAUACAGCAAUGCCGCGUGAGUGAUGAAGGCCGUAGGGUUGUAAAGCUCUUUUAGCCGGGAUGAUAAUGACAGUACCGGGAGAAUAAGCACCGGCUAACUCCGUG
rnacentral:rRNA from 1 species